AACUCUGGUGGAAGCCCGCAGCG
rnacentral:snRNA from 1 species